GUCACUUUUAAGCUUGGUGACUAUUAUGAUGACCCUACUGUUUUAAGAUAUUUGGAAAGGCUGGAAGGUGGUGGUGCUUCACCUUUAGCUGCUGCUGCAGCUAUUGCAAGGAUUGGAGCUGAAGCUACAGCUGUGCUUGAUAGUGUUAAGGCUAGUGCAAUUCAGGCACUACAGAAAGUUUUUCCUGCUGGGGACGGGGAAGGCAGUGUAAGACGAUAUGGUGACAAUGAGAUGAACGAAUUUGAUAUUGCUAAGCCAUUUGAGGAUCUUGAAGAACUCCGUGAUCAAAAUAACUUUAUUACGACUGUUGGGGAUCCUGAGAGAAAGAGAUCUAACUAUCAAGAGCAAGAUGUGAUAACUGACAGAAUAAAAGAUGCAAGUGUGAAG
rnacentral:misc_RNA from 1 species